rnacentral:lncRNA from 1 species
CCCAACCAAAUGGUGAAAUCACCAAGUAAAUUCAUGAUGAUGAAGCAGGUCUGAGGUCAAGCCAGGAAGUCAAUCUGCAGGUCAGUCAGGUGCAGCAAUUGCCAGGCAGACCCCAGGUUCAAGCUGGGAAGACAGUUCAUAGGGUCAGCUGGACACAUUGACAGGUAGGGGCACAGCAGCAGCUGAGCUGAAAACCAGCGCUCGUCCAGAGAAACUUAGGAAAGAAGCAAACACUCAGGACUGAGCUUAAGUAGAUCUUCCAGACUCGUGGGUGUGUGUGGAGAUUCCAGUUGAGGCAGGCCAGGCCCAUUUUGGCUAUUAGUACACUCAGGCACCUUGACUACAGGCUGCAUAUUACCUAAAAUUCUGCUGCCUCCUGUGUUUAUAUCAUCUGACAAAUGAUGUUCCUACCUGUGCUAAGGUAGGAAUAUUUUAGCUGGUUUUGCUAUGUUUGCACUGAACUUGAGUACCUCUUAGAUAGAUUAUGUUGGGUGAUUAAAAUAAGUCAAUUUUUUUUUUUCACACAGGAAGGACUUUUCACAAAAGCAGUCCUAAAAUCUCCAUCUAAAAUAUUAUUUCUCUGCAUUUAUAAAGGACACCUAGGUCUGUUCCUCUGUUUAAAUGGUCAAUGAAAUGGUGCAGACUGGAAGGAUGAGAUGAGAAAUAGACAUGACCAGACAGAAGCAGUUCCUUAAAAAGUUCAGUUGAAAUUCAGAACACUGCAGCUAAUGAGUGAAUUACAGUGGAAUGGCUGCUGAAAAUUUUCCAGGAGAAGUGUAACCAAGAGGAAAUACUGUUUGAAAAGAAAUAUUUUGCCCUUUCAUGUGGAUUCUCACACUCUUUGUAUGUGUCUUGCCUGUGGAAGCAGCAAAGUGGACUGCAGCAGCACUUUCUUCCCCUCUGGCUUCUUGUUUCUGCCCUGCAGCAGCUCCUAAUUAUGACCAAGCAGGACUUUUAUCACCCAGGAGUCCAUCCUCCCUAAGGGGCAUCAGCACUGGUGGCCAAACCCUGUCAUUUGGCUGCUGCAACAAGAGCCAGAGUAAUAGCAGGAAAGGACAGAGAUGUAGGUGCUCAGGCUAUUUAGAACUGCUAGUGGCCUAUGGCCAGGCUGUGCUUUCAGAAGACGUCAAAGUCGGAAUUUCCAGAAGCAGCAAGCUAUGGCUAGUUACGUAUUGA